UAGGGAAUAUUGGGCAAUGGAGGGAACUCUGACCCAGCCAUGCCGCGUGCAGGAUGAAGGCGUUAUGCGUUGUAAACUGCUUUUUAUAUAGGAAGAAAUAGUCCUUGCGAGGAAAGUUGACGGUACUAUGUGAAUAAGCACCGGCUAACUCCGUGCCAGCAGCCGCGGUAAUACGGAGGGUGCAAGCGUUGUCCGGAUUUAUUGGGUUUAAAGGGUGCGUAGGCGGUUUAUUAAGUCAGUGGUGAAAGACGGUCGCUCAACGAUUGCAGUGCCAUUGAUACUGGUAGACUUGAGUAUGAUUGAGGUAGCUGGAAUGGAUAGUGUAGCGGUGAAAUGCAUAGAUAUUAUCCAGAACACCAAUUGCGUAGGCAAGUUACUAAGUCAUAACUGACGCUGAGGCACGAAAGUGUGGGUAUCAAACAGGAUUAGAUACCCAAGUAGUCCCUGAGCGGGCUGGCAAGGCGCAU
rnacentral:rRNA from 1 species